CACGUAGGGGGCGAGCGUUGUCCGGAUUUCUUGGGCGUAAAGAGCUCGUAGGCGGUUAGACAAGUCGGGUGUGAAAGCCCCCGGCUCAACUGGGGAGGGUCACUCGAUACUGAUCGACUCGAAGGCAGGAGAGGGAAGCGGAAUUCCCGGUGUAGUGGUGAAAUGCGUAGAUAUCGGGAGGAACACCAGUGGCGAAGGCGGCUUCCUGGCCUGUUCUUGACGCUGAGGCGCGAAAGCUAGGGGAGCAAACGGG
rnacentral:rRNA from 1 species